UGCGUACCUUUUGUAUAAUGGGUCAGCGACUUAUAUUCUGUAGCAAGGUUAACCGAAUAGGGGAGCCGGAGGGAAACCGAGUCUUAAUUGGGCGUUAAGUUGCAGGGUAUAGACCCGAAACCCGGUGAUCUAGCCAUGGGCAGGUUGAAGGUUGGGUAACACUAACUGGAGGACCGAACCGACUAAUGUUGAAAAAUUAGCGGAUGACCUGUGGCUGGGGGUGAAAGGCCAAUCAAACCGGGAGAUAGCUGGUUCUCCCCGAAAGCUAUUUAGGUAGCGCCUCGUGAAUUCAUCUCCGGGGGUAGAGCACUGUUUCGGCUAGGGGGCCAUCCCGGCUUACCAACCCGAUGCAAACUGCGAAUACCGGAGAAUGUUAUCACGGGAGACACACGGCGGGUGCUAACGUCCGUCGUGAAGAGGGAAACAACCCAGACCGCCAGCUAAGGUCCCAAAGUCAUGGUUAAGUGGGAAACGAUGUGGGAAGGCCCAGACAGCCAGGAUGUUGGCUUAGAAGCAGCCAUCAUUUAAAGAAAGCGUAAUAGCUCACUGGUCGAGUCGGCCUGCGCGGAAGAUGUAACGGGGCUAAACCAUGCACCGAAGCUGCGGCAGCGACACUGUGUGUUGUUGGGUAGGGGAGCGUUCUGUAAGCCUGCGAAGGUGGCCUGUGAGGGUUGCUGGAGGUAUCAGAAGUGCGAAUGCUGACAUAAGUAACGAUAAAGCGGGUGAAAAGCCCGCUCGCCGGAAGACCAAGGGUUCCUGUCCAACGUUAAUCGGGGCAGGGUGAGUCGACCCCUAAGGCGAGGCCGAAAGGCGUAGUCGAUGGGAAACGGGUUAAUAUUCCCGUACUUGGUGUUACUGCGAAGGGGGGACGGAGAAGGCUAUGUUGGCCGGGCGACGGUUGUCCCGGUUUAAGCGUGUAGGUGUGUGUUCCAGGUAAAUCCGGUUCACUUUAACACUGAGGCGUGACGACGAGGCACUACGGUGCUGAAGCAACAAAUGCCCUGCUUCCAGGAAAAGCCUCUAAGCAUCAGGUAACAUCAAAUCGUACCCCAAACCGACACAGGUGGUCAGGUAGAGAAUACCAAGGCGCUUGAGAGAACUCGGGUGAAGGAACUAGGCAAAAUGGUGCCGUAACUUCGGGAGAAGGCACGCUGACACGUAGGUGAAGUGAUUUACUCAUGGAGCUGAAGUCAGUCGAAGAUACCAGCUGGCUGCAACUGUUUAUUAAAAACACAGCACUGUGCAAACACGAAAGUGGACGUAUACGGUGUGACGCCUGCCCGGUGCCGGAAGGUUAAUUGAUGGGGUCAGCGCAAGCGAAGCUCCUGAUCGAAGCCCCGGUAAACGGCGGCCGUAACUAUAACGGUCCUAAGGUAGCGAAAUUCCUUGUCGGGUAAGUUCCGACCUGCACGAAUGGCGUAAUGAUGGCCAGGCUGUCUCCACCCGAGACUCAGUGAAAUUGAACUCGCUGUGAAGAUGCAGUGUACCCGCGGCAAGACGGAAAGACCCCGUGAACCUUUACUAUAGCUUGACACUGAACAUUGAGCCUUGAUGUGUAGGAUAGGUGGGAGGCUUUGAAGUGUGGACGCCAGUCUGCAUGGAGCCGACCUUGAAAUACCACCCUUUAAUGUUUGAUGUUCUAACGUGGACCCGUUACCCGGGUUGCGGACAGUGUCUGGUGGGUAGUUUGACUGGGGCGGUCUCCUCCUAAAGAGUAACGGAGGAGCACGAAGGUUGGCUAAUCCUGGUCGGACAUCAGGAGGUUAGUGCAAUGGCAUAAGCCAGCUUGACUGCGAGCGUGACGGCGCGAGCAGGUGCGAAAGCAGGUCAUAGUGAUCCGGUGGUUCUGAAUGGAAGGGCCAUCGCUCAACGGAUAAAAGGUACUCCGGGGAUAACAGGCUGAUACCGCCCAAGAGUUCAUAUCGACGGCGGUGUUUGGCACCUCGAUGUCGGCUCAUCACAUCCUGGGGCUGAAGUAGGUCCCAAGGGUAUGGCUGUUCGCCAUUUAAAGUGGUACGCGAGCUGGGUUUAGAACGUCGUGAGACAGUUCGGUCCCUAUCUGCCGUGGGCGCUGGAGAACUGAGGGGGGCUGCUCCUAGUACGAGAGGACCGGAGUGGACGCAUCACUGGUGUUCGGGUUGUCAUGCCAAUGGCACUGCCCGGUAGCUAAAUGCGGAAGAGAUAAGUGCUGAAAGCAUCUAAGCACGAAACUUGCCCCGAG
rnacentral:rRNA from 1 species